rnacentral:rRNA from 1 species
GACGAACGCUGGCGGCGUGCCUAAUACAUGCAAGUCGAGCGCAGGAAGCUGACGGAACUCUUCGGAGAGAAGGCAGUGGAAUGAGCGGCGGACGGGUGAGUAACACGUAAGGAACCUGCCUCAAGGAUUGGGAUAACUCCGAGAAAUCGGAGCUAAUACCGGAUAGUUCAACGGACCGCAUGGUCCGCUGAUGAAAGGCGCUUCGGCGUCACCUUGAGAUGGCCUUGCGGUGCAUUAGCUAGUUGGGGGGGUAACGGCCCACCAAGGCGACGAGGCAUAGCCGACAGGAGAGGGUGAUCGGCCACACUGGGACUGAGACACGGCCCAGACUCCUACGGGAGGCAGCAGUAGGGAAUCUUCCACAAUGGACGAAAGUCUGAUGGAGCAACGCCGCGUGAGUGAUGAAGGUUUUCGGAUCGUAAAACUCUGUUGUAAGGGAAGAACACGUACGAGAGGGAAUGCUCGUACCUUGACGGUACCUUACGAGAAAGCCACGGCUAACUACGUGCCAGCCGCCGCGGUAA